CUGGGAGCGGGGUAGAGCAUGCAUAGGGUCACUUUAGGGUUGCCAACCCUCCAGGAUUGUCCUGGAGUCUCCAAGAAUUAAAGAUGAAUCUUUAAUUAAAGACUAUGUUGUGAUGAAACCACUAGGAAUACAUCCAACCCAAAUUGACAA